AUUGAACGCUGGCGGCAUGCCUUACACAUGCAAGUCGAACGGCAGCACGGGAGCAAUCCUGGUGGCGAGUGGCGAACGGGUGAGUAAUAUAUCGGAACGUGCCCAGUCGUGGGGGAUAACGCAGCGAAAGCUGUGCUAAUACCGCAUACGAUCUAUGGAUGAAAGCGGGGGAUCGCAAGACCUCGCGCGAUUGGAGCGGCCGAUAUCAGAUUAGCUAGUUGGUGAGGUAAAGGCUCACCAAGGCGACGAUCUGUAGCUGGUCUGAGAGGACGACCAGCCACACUGGAACUGAGACACGGUCCAGACUCCUACGGGAGGCAGCAGUGGGGAAUUUUGGACAAUGGGCGAAAGCCUGAUCCAGCAAUGCCGCGUGCAGGAUGAAGGCCUUCGGGUUGUAACUGCUUUUGUACGGAACGAAACGGUGAGCUCUAAUACAGUUUGCUAAUGACGGUACCGUAAGAAUAAGCACCGGCUAACUACGUGCCAGCAGCCGCCGCAGUAA
rnacentral:rRNA from 1 species